rnacentral:rRNA from 1 species
CCUACGGGUGGCUGCAGUGAGGAAUAUUGGUCAAUGGACGAGAGUCUGAACCAGCCAAGUCGCGUGAAGGAUGACUGCCCUAUGGGUUGUAGACUUCUUUUAUAAAGGAAUAAAACGAGGCACGUGUGCCUUUUUGCAUGUACUUGAUGAAUAAGGAUCGGCUAACUCCGUGCCAGCAGCCGCGGUAAUACGGAGGAUCCGAGCGUUAUCCGGAUUUAUUGGGUUUAAAGGGAGCGUAGAUGGGUUCUUAAGUCAGUUGUGAAAAUUGGGGGCUAAACCGUAACAGAGCAAUUGAUACUGGGAGUCUUGAGUGCAGUUGAGGCAGGCGGAAUUCGUGGUGUAGCGGUGAAAUGCAUAGAUAUCACGAAGAACCCCGAUUGCGAAGGCAGCUUACUAAGCUGUGACUGACAUUGAUGCUCGAAAGUGUGGGUAUCAAACAGGAUUAGAUACCCGUGUAGUC